UACGGGGGGGGCAAGCGUUGUUCGGAAUUACUGGGCGUAAAGGGCUCGUAGGCGGCCAACUAAGUCAGACGUGAAAUCCCCAGGCUUAACCUGGGAACUGCGUCUGAUACUGGAUGGCUUGAAUUCGGGAGAGGGAUGCAGAAUUCCAGGUGUAGCGGUGAAAUGCGUAGAGAUGCGGAGGAACACCAGUGGCGAAAGCGACUUUCUGGUCCUUAACUGACGCUGAGGCGCGAAAGCAUGGGGAGCGAACGGG
rnacentral:rRNA from 1 species